rnacentral:rRNA from 1 species
UACGUAGGGGGCAAGCGUUGUCCGGAUUUAUUGGGCGUAAAGAGCGCGUAGGCGGCUAGAUAAGUCCGGUGUGAAAGUCACAGGCUCAAACCUGGUGAAUGCCGCUGGAAACUGUCUGGCUAGAGUCCGGAAGAGGCGAGUGGAAUUCCUGGUGUAGCGGUGGAAUGCGCAGAUAUCAGGAGGAACACCAAUAGCGAAGGCAGCUCGCUGGGACGGUACUGACGCUAGGCGCGAAAGCGUGGGAGCGAACGAGGA